rnacentral:rRNA from 1 species
CCUACGGGGGGCAGCAGUGAGGAAUAUUGCACAAUGGGCGGUACCCUGAUGCAGCGACGCAGCGUGAGUGAAGAAUUCUUUCGGGGUGGAAAACUCUAUCAGCAGGGGAGAAAAUGACGGUACCUGACUUAGAAGCCCCGUCUAACUACGUCAAGCAGCCGCGGUAAUACGGAGGGGGCCAGCGUUAACCGGGUUUACUGGGUGUAAAGGGAGCGCAGACGGCUGUGCAAGUCGGGAGUGAAAGGCUGGGGCCCAACCCCAGGAAUGCUGUGGAAACUGGAAAGCUUGAGUGCAGGAGAGGUAAGCGGAAUUCCUAGUGUAGCGGUGAAAUGCGUAGAUAUCAGGAGGAACACCAGUGGCGAAGGCGGCCUACUGGACUGCAACUGACGCUGAGGCUCGAAAGCGUGGGGAGCAAACAGGAUUAGAUACCCGGGUAGUC